rnacentral:rRNA from 1 species
UACGUAGGGUGCAAGCGUUGUCCGGAAUUAUUGGGCGUAAAGAGCUCGUAGGCGGUUUGUCGCGUCGAAUGUGAAAACCCGGGGCUCAACUCCGGGCCUGCAUUCGAUACGGGCAGACUAGAGUUCGGUAGGGGAGACUGGAAUUCCUGGUGUAGCGGUGAAAUGCGCAGAUAUCUGGAGGAACACCGGUGGCGAAGGCGGCAUCCUGGACCGGUAUUGACGCUGAGGCGCGAAAGCCAGGGGAGCAAACGGG